rnacentral:rRNA from 1 species
UACAGAGGUCUCAAGCGUUGUUCGGAUUUACUGGGCGUAAAGGGCGCGUAGGCGGCGGGUCAAGUCGAGUGUGAAAGCCCCGGGCUCAACCUGGGAGGUGCGCUCGAGACUGGUCUGCUAGAGUUCGGGAGAGGAGCGUGGAAUUCCCAGUGUAGAGGUGAAAUUCGUAGAUAUUGGGAAGAACACCGGUGGCGAAGGCGGCGCUCUGGACCGAGACUGACGCUGAGGCGCGAAAGCGUGGGGAGCAAACAGG